ACCAGCAUGGCAUAGUGGUAUGAGUGUUAGACUAUGAUUCUGAAGACCAGGAUUCAAUUCCCUGCUUGGCUA
rnacentral:tRNA from 1 species